rnacentral:rRNA from 1 species
GAUGAACGCUAGCGGCAGGCCUAAUACAUGCAAGUCGGACGGUAUUCCGCCUUCGGGCGGGAGAGAGUGGCGCACGGGUGAGUAACGCGUGGGAACGUGCCCUUUGGUACGGAAUAGCCCCGGGAAACUGGGAGUAAUACCGUAUGUGGUCGAGAGACGAAAGAUUUAUCGCCAAAGGAUCGGCCCGCGUUGGAUUAGGUAGUUGGUGGGGUAAUGACCUACCAAGCCGACGAUCCAUAGCUGGUUUGAGAGGAUGAUCAGCCACACUGGGACUGAGACACGGCCCAGACUCCUACGGGAGGCAGCAGUGGGGAAUCUUAGACAAUGGGGGAAACCCUGAUCUAGCCAUGCCGCGUGAUCGAUGAAGGCCUUAGGGUUGUAAAGAUCUUUCAGUGGGGAAGAUAAUGACUGUACCCACAGAAGAAGCCCCGGCUAACUCCGUGCCAGCAGCCGCCGUAAAAC